rnacentral:rRNA from 1 species
UACAGAGGUCUCAAGCGUUGUUCGGAAUCACUGGGCGUAAAGGGUGCGUAGGCCGCACGGUAAGUCAGAGGUGAAAUCCCGGAGCUCAACUUCGGAAUUGCCUCCGAUACUGCCGUGCUUGAGGACUGGAGAGGAGACUGGAAUUUACGGUGUAGCGGUGAAAUGCGUAGAUAUCAAGUGGAACACCAGUGGCGAAGGCGAAUCCCUGGAAAAUACCUGACACUGAGGCACGAAAGCUAGGGGAGCAAACAGG